UGGGGAAUUUUGGACAAUGGGCGAAAGCCUGAUCCAGCAAUGCCGCGUGUGUGAAGAAGGCCCUUCGGGUUGUAAAGCACUUUUGUCCGGAAAGAAAUCCUUGGCUCUAAUACAGUCGGGGGAUGACGGUACCGGAAGAAUAAGCACCGGCUAACUACGUGCCAGCAGCCGCGGUAAUACGUAGGGUGCAAGCGUUAAUCGGAAUUACUGGGCGUAAAGCGUGCGCAGGCGGUUUGCUAAGACCGAUGUGAAAUCCCCGGGCUCAACCUGGGAACUGCAUUGGUGACUGGCAGGCUAGAGUAUGGCAGAGGGGGGUAGAAUUCCACGUGUAGCAGUGAAAUGCGUAGAGAUGUGGAGGAAUACCGAUGGCGAAGGCAGCCCCCUGGCAAGUCACUGACGCUCAUGCACG
rnacentral:rRNA from 1 species